UGAUUAAGUAAGGAAGGGCGUACGGAGGAUGCCUUGCCACUCGAAACUGAAGAAGGACGUGCCAAACUGCGAAAUGCGGCGGUGAGCUGUAAGGAAGCGAAGACCCGCCGAUCUCCGAAUGGGGGAACCCGGCCGGCCACACAGCCGGUCACCGCACGGUGAACACAUAGCCGUGCAGGGAGGUACCCGGUGAACUGAAACAUCUAAGUAACCGGAGGAAAAGAAAACAACAGUGAUUCCC
rnacentral:rRNA from 1 species